rnacentral:rRNA from 1 species
UACGUAGGGUGCGAGCGUUGUCCGGAAUUAUUGGGCGGAAAGAGCUCGUAGGCGGCUUGUCGCGUCGGAUGUGAAAGCCCGGGGCUUAACUCCGGGUCUGCAUUCGAUACGGGCAGGCUAGAGUUCGGUAGGGGAGAUCGGAAUUCCUGGUGUAGCGGUGAAAUGCGCAGAUAUCAGGAGGAACACCGGUGGCGAAGGCGGAUCUCUGGGCCGAUACUGACGCUGAGGAGCGAAAGCGUGGGGAGCGAACAGG